rnacentral:rRNA from 1 species
AGGGAAUAUUGGACAAUGAGCGAAAGCUUGAUCCAGCCAUGCCGCGUGUGCGAUGACGGCCUUAGGGUUGUAAAGCACUUUAGGUAACGAGGAAAAGUUAGGUGUUAAUACCAUCUAAUCUUGACGUUAAUUACAGAAUAAGCACCGGCUAAAUCCGUGCCAGCAGCCGCGGUAAUACGGAUGGUGCAAGCGUUAAUCGGAAUUACUGGGCGUAAAGCGCGCGUAGGUGGCAUACCAAGUUAGAUGUGAAAUCCCAGGGCUUAACCCUGGAACUGCAUCUAAAACUGGUAAGCUUGAGUACUAGAGAGGAAAGUAGAAUUCUUAGUGUAGCGGUGGAAUGCGUAGAUAUU